GACAGGGAAGAGAUGCGCCUCUAAGCUGCUUCUGAGGCGCCCAUCACUGGAAGACCCCUUGUGGUAGCCUCCUCUACACAGCUUAGAUAAAGAGUCUAUUAGCUUCCCCAGAGCGGGUUCUGGAAGCUGGAUCUGGCACGAAGCAGAAGUCAGCCCCUCAGCGGUGCCUCUUCCUUCAGCCUACCAUCCUCGCCCCUCCCACUGGAUUCCCGACACUGGAUUUCUCUCGCCAGCGUCCCUGAGCCCAGGGCACAGGAUCAUUUCUUCCUAAACUGUCCCUGGAGCCAGGGCAGUUAUGCAUCCUGCCCGCCACUGUUGUCAGUGCACACUUGCAGAGGUUUCUGUGGAAUUCAGGCUUCAGUAAACACUUGAGAAGGAGGAAGUGGGCCAAGAAAUCCGAGGACGAUUGCAUCAGGACUGGCGCACACUGCCCUUUCCCAUCUCCGUCUCUGAGAAGCCCUCCCUCUUUGUCCUGGAGGGGCGGGGAGGCAAUUAAGGCCUUGGACCAUCCCCUGGCCUUCUCUGGGCCCCCUGGUCUAGGGGAGAGGCUAAUGCUGGUGAGGAGGGGAACGCUGAAGAUGGGCCUCAGGAAUCGAGAGAGACAGCACCUAGAGAGGCCUGGUGGCAGGGUGAGGUUGGAUUGCUAGUUCAAAGAGAGCCUGGGCUAUGCAGUGAGACACCAUCUCAAAAUGAAAAAAAAAGAAAAAAGGUGCCUUGGCCAGUGAGGUCUAGUAGAGGAACGGAGAAACAAGGAGCCAAGGAAGCAGGCAGAGGAGAUCAGGAUCCUGUCCCCUCUUCUCUUCUUCCAUUUUACAGAAGCCGGGGAGAAAUAUGAAAACUCAACUGUGCCCUGCACCAGCCUCCGCCCCCAAGUUAAGGAACACAAAAGAGAAAUGCCAGGAGACGUGAGCAUUCCCUUCAGAGCCGCCGCUGGUCAUGAAACCCCAUCAUCACUUAAAUCGCCCUAUUUUAAAGGAUCUGUUGCAAAGGAUUUGGCUUGAAGAUUCUAAACUCUAUUUAGCUCCAGGCCUUAAUCACUGCGGAGCUGAGAAUUUUAUAAUCACAAAGAUGGAAGAAUCCUAGAGGUCAAGUGGCUCAGAGAUUCUCCAAUGUUUAGACUUUAUCAAAAUUUAAAGUUUGGAAAAUGAAGAGGGAGAUGUCUAAGAGCUUUUAAGUCUGGAAAAACACAACUAUCAAAUAAACGCAACUAUCUUGUGUGGCAA